AUUGAACGCUGGCGGCAUGCCUAACACAUGCAAGUCGAGCGGAUGAAGGGAGCUUUCUCCUGGAUUCAGCGGCGGACGGGUGAGUAAUUCCUAGGAAUCUGCCUGGUAUUUGGGGAUAACGUCCGUAAACGGGCGCUAAUACCGCAUACGUCCUGAUGGUGAAAGUGGGGGAUCUUCGGACCUCACGCUAUCAGAUGAGCCUAGGUCGUAUUAGCUAGUUGGUGGGGUAAAGGCCUACCAAGGCGACGAUCCGUAACUGGUCUGAGAGGAUGAUCAGUCACACUGGAACUGAGACACGGUCCAGACUCCUACGGGAGGCAGCAGUGGGGAAUAUUGGACAAUGGGCGAAAGCCUGAUCCAGCCAUGCCGCGUGUGUGAAGAAGGUCUUCGGAUUGUAAAGCACUUUAAGUUGGGAGGAAGGGCAGUAAGUUAAUACCUUGCUGUUUUGACGUUACCAACAGAAUAAGCACCGGCUAACUUCGUG
rnacentral:rRNA from 1 species